CGGGGACGAAGUAGCCGUCGUAGUUCAGAGUGCCCAACCCAAAGACUUUAUGUUGGGCUCGAAUUUGCUCUUUCUGGAGGCUUGAGUUGGAAAACAUCAAUUGCAGCAGUGGAUCAGUGCUUACCUGAAACAAAUAUUUUUCUGCAUCCGAACAGGAUAAAUGCUAAAAGAUGGAGAGAUGGAUGAGGUAGACCAGGCAGUAGGCAGAAGACCAUAGAGCUCCAGGGAUCAGACUGUGGCUGUAAUGUCAUGUUUCUUUAAGUUUACAAUUCCACCUCUGGGUUAAACAGGUAAACUAAGCCCUUGU